rnacentral:rRNA from 1 species
UACAGAGGGUGCGAGCGUUGUCCGGAAUCAUUGGGCGUAAAGGGCGCGUAGGUGGCCACUUCAAGCGUGCGGUGAAAGCUCGGGCUCAACCCCGAGUCGGCCGUGCGAACUGGGCUCACUGGAGCAUAGUAGAGGCAGGUGGAAUUCCGGGUGUAGCGGUGGAAUGCGUAGAGAUCCGGAAGAACACCGAUGGCGAAGGCAGCCUCCUGGGCUAGUACUGACGCUCAUGCACGAAAGCGUGGGGAGCAAACAGG